GAUCCUGGCUCAGGAUGAACGCUAGCUACAGGCUUAACACAUGCAAGUCGAGGGGAAACGACAUCGAAAGCUUGCUUCCGAUGGGCGUCGACCGGCGCACGGGUGAGUAACGCGUAUCCAACCUGCCCACCACUUGGGGAUAACCUUGCGAAAGUAAGACUAAUACCCAAUGAUAUCUCUAGAAGACAUCUGAAAGAGAUUAAAGAUUUAUCGGUGAUGGAGUGGGAGGUGCGGU
rnacentral:rRNA from 1 species